CUCUACCUCUGUCCUAAAAUAAGUGCAGUUGUGGAUAUCCGUGUCCAACGUUUGAUCAUCCGUCUUAUUUCAAAAAAUUUAAAAUAUAGUCACACAUAUAGUACUAUUCAUGUUUUAUCAAUGAAAAUACAUAUCAUAAUUUUUUUUUCAAAUAAAACGAAGUAUGAAACAUUGGGCAUAAACAAUGCAAAACUGUAUUUAUUUUGGGAUGGAGGGAGUA
rnacentral:pre_miRNA from 1 species